rnacentral:rRNA from 1 species
AUUGAACGCUGGCGGCAGGCCUAACACAUGCAAGUCGAACGAGUGGCGGACGGGUGAGUAAUGUCUGGGAAACUGCCUGAUGGAGGGGGAUCACUACUGGAAACGGUAGCUAAUACCGCAUACCAUCAGAUGUGCCCAGCUGGGAUUAGCUGGUUGGUGGGGUAACGGCUCACCAAGGCGACGAUCCCUAGCUGGUCUGAGAGGAUGACCGGCCAAACUGGAACGGAGACAUGGUCCAGACUCCGACGGGAGGCAGCAUGGGGGAAUAGUGCACAAUGUGCGAAAGCCUGAUGCAGCCAUGCCGCGUGUAUGAAGAAGGCCUUCGGGUUGGAAAGUACUUUCAGCGGGGAGGCGUUACCCGCAGAAGAAGCACCGGCUAACUCCGUGCCAGCAGCCGCGGUAAUAC